GCGAGUGAAGAGGGAAGAGCCCAAGAUUGAAAGCUGGCGUCUUCGGCGUCCGCAUUGUAAUCUCAAGAAGUGUUUUCCGCUUCGGACCAAGCCUAAGUCCCCUGGAAAGGGGCAUCAUAGAGGGUGAUAAUCCCGUACAUGGCUUGGAGCGCCCGAGGCUUUGUGAUACGCUUUCUAAGAGUCGAGUUGUUUGGGAAUGCAGCUCAAAAUGGGUGGUAAAUGCCAUCUAAGGCUAAAUAUUGGGGAGAGACCGAUAGCGAACAAGUACAGUGAUGGAAAGAUGAAAAGAACUUUGAAAAGAGAGUUAAACAGUACGUGAAAUUGCCAAAAGGGAAGGGUAGGAGGUCAGAGAUGCGGCCUGGGAUUCAGCCUUGCUUUUGCUUGGUGUUUUUCCCAGAUUGCAGGCCAACGUCGGUUUUGGGCACUGGAGAAGGGUAGGAGGAACGUGGCACCCCUCGGGGUGUGUUAUAGCCUCCUACUGGAUACAGCGACCGAGACCGAGGACAGCAGCGUACUCGCAAGAGCGGGCCUUCGGGCACCUUUACGCUUAGGGCGUUGGCAUAAUGGCCC
rnacentral:rRNA from 1 species